rnacentral:rRNA from 1 species
AUUGCCACAUGAACACCAUAUGUGGUACGUCCUGCCCAGUGAAUUUUCAACGGCCGCGGUAUCCUAACCGUGCAAAGGUAGCAUAAUCACUUGCCUAUUAAUUGUAGGCUAGAAUGAAAGGAUAAACGAGAAUAUAGCUGUCUCUAUUAGAACAAUAAAAAUUAACUUUUGAGUGAAGAGGCUCAAAUUAUCUCGCAGGACAAGAAGACCCUAUAGAGCUUUACCUUAUCACAUAGCGUAAAUGUGUAUCGGUUCGGUUGGGGCGACCUGGGGACACUUAUCACCCCCAAAUUACAAGAUAGACAAAUCUCUCAAAAGAUCCUACCUCUAGAUCACAGAAUCAAGCUACCUUAGGGAUAACAGGCUAAUUCCCCUAUAGAGCCCUUAUCAACAGGGGAGUUUGGCACCUCGAUGUUGGCUUAGGACUUCUUCAUGGUGCAGCCGCCAUGAAUAGAUGGUUUGUUCAACCAUUAAAUUCCU